AAAAUCUUAACCAGUGAGAGAGGGAGUUUGGUUUUCCAGCCCCACAAGUCCUGUGGUUCCUCAGCACUUCAGUUUGGCUAGAACUCCUAUGUUAGACAAGUCACUUACUUCUCAUUCUCUUCCUUACCAGAUGCUGUUUCGAACAACCAUUCUGCAAUAAUAACAUUUCAGAUCCUUUCUACAGGAAGCCAUAAGUAUAGUAUACCCAUGUUUGCCUUCCAAGUAACCUCAGGUAAGUUUUACUCAAGUCUUGCUCCUAAUUUUCCAGCCUCCAAUAAGAUUCCUCACUGAUAGCUCUCUUUACCCUGAAAUCAGUGCCAUGUAUUUUAAGUGUUUUAUUAUGAUAAUACUCCACUUCUAAGAAUCAUAUUAUGAACUAUUCAGCUUUGCCACGUCACAACCAUGUAAUUUCAUGGGUUUGUAAAAAGAAGUAUUUCAAUCGUGUCCAUGUUUCAUACAGCAGUUAAUGGAUGGAUGCAGCUCCAGUGACUCUGACUCACACCUGCCGGUCUUUUUUAUUCUACUACUCAGGUUGAGGUUGCAGGCCUCAUACGGAGGGAACCCAUUUGGGGGUCUGAGAAGAAAAAAAAAGCCUCUGGUUGAAUGCAGCAUAAUCAUAUCUGUUCACAUUCUCAUAGCCAGAGAAAAUGACCUGGUUAAAUCCAAAAUUGAAAGGAGAAAUAUAUUCACUCUACAACAAGAAGCAGCACGCUAGGUUGCUGCAAGCGCUUGUAAGUUGGAGGAGGAUCGUGGAAGAUCUUGAGGCCAGAUGGAUGACACUCCUGCCAGUCACUCAUCAAAACAGUUCUAGAGAUCACGGAGCAGAAACUAUAGUCACUGGAUAUCAAUUGGAAAAAUAAUCCCCCUAUUAAGUCCCUGAGCACAAGAAAUGGACAGUAUUUGGUGGCUGGAGUACAGCAUAAGGAAAUAAUCAGAAAUCUGGGCAAAGAAUUAUGUACCAAGAAGUUCACAGAAGCAUUAUUUAAAAUUGCAAAACAAGUAAAAACAAGUUGGAUUCAAACCAAAUGGCCCCAAAGAGGAAAUGAUUAAAUAAGAUGGGCUAUUAAACAGACAUUGAAUAUUAUGUUUUCAGAAUAUAUUUAAUUAAAUGGAAAAAUACAUACAAUAUAGUGUAAAGUUUUUAAAAAACAUACAAAACCAUAUGGGUAGUAUGUUUUAAAUCUGUGUCAAAAGUGCUAUGUCGAAAAUAAGCUGAGACUUGUGAAAAAUACUUAGGACAAUAUAAAGUACUUUUCCAUCAUAUUUGAAUCAAUGAGAAAAGACAGGCAAGGAACAGGCCUAUUGUUUGGGGGAGAAGGCAAUUUGCUAACAGCCAAUAGAAUUUUUUCCCAGCAAGGAAAAAUGACUUUCAAGUUCUCAAAAGAGAGUAUACAAUUAAAAUUUGUAAAUUUAAACCCACAGUAGUAAGAAGGGCUAGCCUACAAACUGUCCAAGGAAGAGGUGACUGAGGAUGCAGCUGACUGGCCUCGCCAGAAGACUAGAAAUGGAGAAAGCACAGGUGACACUAAAAUUUCUGAUUUGGAGGCCUGAAUGUAGAUGGAGUUGUCUCCUGACUACAAUGGAAGGUUGGAAUUAAGUAUCCUCUUUCAGGGGGUACUUAAUUCAUAUGUGUGAUGAGGUUACAGAGCUGCCUCUUGGGAGAAAGGGACAUUUGAGAGCCCUGUACCCGGGGUGGUAACUGAAAUGGAGAUGCAGAAAGCCUCAAUAUCUUCUGCAUCUGAUAUUCAGAAUAACAUCAGGGGACAGUGCUUUUCAGAGGUCUAUAUCUUUGAGGAAAGCUAAAAAUUCAUCAGUUCUAAAUGCAGUCCUCAUCACUGACUGCAUCUGACAUCUUACCUUCCACCCAGUGCCAAAGCCCCAUCAACAAGGAAGCGCUUUCUUUCCUGAUUAAGACUAAACUCUAAGGUUUCAAUUUUGUGUGUUCUCUAAUGAAAAGAAAGGUGUG
rnacentral:lncRNA from 1 species